AAUGACAGAUGACUUAAAUUGAAGUUAAAGAAGUAUAAUAACUUUAAUAAAUAAAUAUACAAAAUGUAAUUUAUUGAUUAUUCUCUAUUUUGUAUUACCUAUAUCGAAUUGCUUAUCUAAUAACCUCAUUGUGAACAUUAAAAAGGAUCAACGAUUUCAUAAAUAUGGUUUCAAACAGACAUACAGAACUUACAGAUUUGGAAGCAUUUAUUUCUCGCAGUAAUAACGAAAUAACAAUGAUCUUGCAGAGCUUACAAUGGAAUCGGCAGAUUUUAGUUUCUAACGCUGAAUUUGAAACUUGUGCUUACGACACUGCACACAAAAUAUCUACCAAAAAAUCUAAGGAACAUGAAGAGCAAUGCUGGUUAAGAAUCCAGGGUUACGCUCAAGAGGAAAAGUUAUUGCCGGAACCUCUGAAUUCUAAUGCUCAAGCAAUUGUUAAACUAAAUUCACAAGAUAUUAACUUGAUAAUAGCAAAUGCUUCUAAGGAUGAUCCAACAUUUAAAAAAGUGAAAAUAAAAUCUGGAAUCUUUUUUGUUAAGAAAAAGGUGUUUUACCAACAUAAUGCAAUAUUUGGGAUGGACCUGCACCGCUUACCUUGGAGCGUCUACAAGCAACCUAUACAGUAGAUGAACGCCGUGCAAUAUAUGAUGCUGUUGUUGCAUCGGAUCCAACUAGCCAUGACAUUUCUGACUUAGCUUUAAAUGAUGUAAAUGAAGUGAAAACUGAAAAAAAGGCAAAGUCGCGCAUUGAAAUACUUUCGGAACUGCGUGACAUGCGGCGGCGACGCACAAAGUAUCGCGUUGCUGCUAAAACCAAGAAGUACUCUGAUGUUUUACGCGACGUCAUAAGAACUCAGAUGGAGAUGUACACUGGCAUUCUUAAUGAACAGGAGGACACUGUAGAAAAAACAAUCCAUGACAAGAAUCUCCAUGAUGAAAUCAAAAGAGAGAGGAGUUUAUCACUUGAAAGACUUAAUAGAAACAAACAAAUGUUUUAUUAUGAAAAUAAACCAAAUACUUCAGGAAGAUCUAUAGAUACAAGACAUGAAAGCAAGCGGAAUACAUACUCCUCACGGACAAAAAGGGAUAUUCAUAAUGUUAAAACAUAUAGACGAGACAAAUAUAAUGAAAGACAUAGUAGUAGGCAUAAUGUUAGAGAUAAAAGUCAUGAAAAUUUGGACAAUAGAAGAAAUAAUUUUAGAGAACACGAGAGGAGUAGGUAUCAAGACAAAUUACACAACAGAAAUAAACAUGAUGAUUAUAAAAGAGAAAAUAGGCACAAAAUAGGUAUGAAUGGUGACAGAUGCAGAGAUGAAUCAAGGAAACCUGACAAUUUUAGGCAAGAAUAUAAGAAUCACUCCUAUGCUGCUGGAAUACAUCAAAUAAAGAUCAAAGAAGAAAAUAAAAGUUAUGAAGAUAAAUAUGAAUCCGGUUAUAACAGAACUUUAGAAAUUAACACCAUUAAGAUAAAAGUCGAAAAGGAAUAAGACAUGUAGAUUGUGAAAUUUUUAAAUAAAUUCUAUCCUUUUUUCA